AGACCCGAAACCCGGUGAUCUAGCCAUGGGCAGGUUGAAGGUUGGGUAACACUAACUGGAGGACCGAACCGACUAAUGUUGAAAAAUUAGCGGAUGACCUGUGGCUGGGGGUGAAAGGCCAAUCAAACCGGGAGAUAGCUGGUUCUCCCCGAAAGCUAUUUAGGUAGCGCCUCGUGAAUUCAUCUCCGGGGGUAGAGCACUGUUUCGGCUAGGGGGCCAUCCCGGCUUACCAACCCGAUGCAAACUGCGAAUACCGGAGAAUGUUAUCACGGGAGACACACGGCGGGUGCUAACGUCCGUCGUGAAGAGGGAAACAACCCAGACCGCCAGCUAAGGUCCCAAAGUCAUGGUUAAGUGGGAAACGAUGUGGGAAGGCCCAGACAGCCAGGAUGUUGGCUUAGAAGCAGCCAUCAUUUAAAGAAAGCGUAAUAGCUCACUGGUCGAGUCGGCCUGCGCGGAAGAUGUAACGGGGCUAAACCAUGCACCGAAGCUGCGGCAGCGAACGUAUCACCCAAGACAACUUUGCGGAGUUGACGAUUGACGGAGCGAAGCGACGUCAAAGCGUUCAUUAAAGUCGAGUUGGCUUAGGGAUACGUUCGUUGGGUAGGGGAGCGUUCUGUAAGCCUGUGAAGGUGGCCUGUGAG
rnacentral:rRNA from 1 species